ACGAACGCUGGCGGCGUGCCUAAUACAUGCACGUAGAACGCACAGUUUAUACCGUAGCUUGCUACACCAUAGCCUGUGAGUUGCGAACGGGUGAGUAACGCGUAGGUAACCUGCCUGGUAGCGGGGGAUAACUAUUGGAAACGAUAGCUAAUACCGCAUAAUAUUAAUUAUUGCAUGAUAAUUAAUUGAAAGGUGCAAUUGCACCACUACCAGAUGGACCUGCGUUGUAUUAGCUAGUAGGUGAGGUAACGGCUCACCUAGGCGACGAUACAUAGCCGACCUGAGAGGGUGAUCGGCCACACUGGGACUGAGACACGGCCCAGACUCCUACGGGAGGCAGCAGUAGGGAAUCUUCGGCAAUGGACGAAAGUCUGACCGAGCAACGCCGCGUGAGUGAAGAAGGUUUUCGGAUCGUAAAGCUCUGUUGUAAGAGAAGAACGGGUGUGAGAGUGGAAAGUUCACACUGUGACGGUAUCUUACCAGAAAGGGACGGCUAACUACGUG
rnacentral:rRNA from 1 species